rnacentral:rRNA from 1 species
GACGAACGCCGGCGGCGUGCCUAAUACAUGCAAGUCGAACGCAGUGGGGACGGGUGAGUAACACGUGGGUAACCUCCCAUCAGAGGGGAUAACACUUGGAAACAGGCGCUACACCGACAUGGAAGGAUGGACCCGCGGUGCAUUAGCUAGUUGGUGAGGUAACGGCUCACCAAGGCCACGACGCAUAGCCUACCUGAUAGGGUGCUCGGCCACACUGAGACGGAGACCCGGCCCAGACUCCUACGUGAGGCAGCAGUAGGAAAUCUUCGGCAAUGGACAAAAGUCUGACCGAGCAACGCCGCGUGAGUGAAGCAAGUUUUCGGAUCGUAUAACUCUGUUGUUAGAGAAGCGGUAUCUAACCAGAGAGCCACGGCUAACUGCGUGCCAGCAGCCGCGGUAAUAC